AGUGAACGCUGGCGGCGUGCUUAACACAUGCAAGUCGAACGAGAACGGGAUAUAGCUUGCUAUAUUUGUCAGCUAAGUGGCGCACGGGUGAGUAAUGUAUAGACAACCUGCCCUCUAGAAAGGAAUAACAGUUGGAAACGACUGCUAAUGCCCUAUAUGCCUUUAAUACAUAAGUAUGCAAGGGAAACGCUUUAGUGCUAGAGGAUGGGUCUGUAUGGUAUCAGCUUGUUGGUGAGGUAAUGGCUCACCAAGGCUAUGACGCCUAACUGGUUUGAGAGGAUGAUCAGUCACACAGGAAUUGAGACACGGUCCAGACUCCUACGGGAGGCAGCAGUGGGGAAUAUUGCACAAUGGACGAAAGUCUGAUGCAGCAACGCCGCGUGGAGGAUGACACAUUUCGGUGCGUAAACUCCUUUUAUAUAGGAAGAUAAUGACGGUACUAUAUGAAUAAGCACCGGCUAACUCCGUGCCAGCAGCCGCAGUAA
rnacentral:rRNA from 1 species